rnacentral:tRNA from 1 species
GCCGGGAUGGUGGAAUUGGUAGACACAAGGGACUUAAAAUCCCUCGGAUGGUGACAUCCGUGCCAGUUCGAGACUGGUUCCCGGCA